CCUACGGGUGGCUGCAGUGGGGAAUAUUGGACAAUGGGCGCAAGCCUGAUCCAGCCAUACCGCGUGGGUGAAGAAGGCCUUCGGGUUGUAAAGCCCUUUUGUUGGGAAAGAAAUCCUGCCGGUUAAUAGCCAGUAGGGAUGACGGUACCCAAAGAAUAAGCACCGGCUAACUUCGUGCCAGCAGCCGCGGUAAUACGAAGGGUGCAAGCGUUACUCGGAAUUACUGGGGGUAAAGCGUGCGGAGUGGCGUGAAAGCCCUGGGCUCAACCUGGGAAUUGCGAUGGAUACUGGGCGACUAGAGUGUGGUAGAGGAUAGUGGAAUUUCCGGUGUAGCAGUGAAAUGCGUAGAGAUCGGAAGGAACAUCUGUGGCGAAGGCGACUAUCUGGGCCAACACUGACACUGAGGCACGAAAGCGUGGGGAGCAAACAGGAUUAGAUACCCGAGUAGUC
rnacentral:rRNA from 1 species